UGGGGAAUCUUGCACAAUGGGGGCAACCCUGAUGCAGCGACGCCGCGUGAGCGAUGAAGCCCUUCGGGGCGUAAAGCUCUUUCGACCGGAACGAUAAUGACGGUACCGGGAGAAGAAGCUGCGGCUAACUACGCGCCAGCAGCCGCGGUAAUACGUAGGCAGCAAGCGUUGUUCGGAGUUACUGGGCGUAAAGAGUGCGUAGGCGGUUUUCUAAGUUCGGUGUGAAAUCUCCCGGCUUAACUGGGAGGGUGCGCCGAAGACUGGGAAGCUGGAGUGUGGGAAAGGCAGGCGGAAUUCCUGGUGUAGCGGUGAAAUGCGUAGAUAUCAGGAGGAACACCGGCGGUGUAGACGGCUUGCUAGACCAUAACUGACGCUGAGGCACGAAAGCGUGGGUAGCAAACA
rnacentral:rRNA from 1 species